rnacentral:lncRNA from 1 species
AUGAGUGAUCAAAUCAAUCAUCUUUAGGACAUGCAUUUUCAUGGAAGAGCCUUCAGUCAUAUGGGCACGAAAUAACUAUUUUGAUAUCUCAUAUCGAGCAGCUCGAUUUUGCUCCCCAUAUAACUCUUUAAGAUUAAGGAGAACAGAGAAAAAUCCAUGUCCUCACGCUACCUCUGGAGCUCAUUGCUCAUGGAGGCAAGCAUGAUACAGUUG